rnacentral:rRNA from 1 species
CCUACGGGGGGCAGCAGUGAGGAAUAUUGGUCAAUGGCCGGAACGCUGAACCAGCCAAGCCGCGUGAGUGACGAAGGUGCCAAGCAUUUUAAACUUCUUUUGUCAAGGGACAAAAUCAGGCUCGAGAGCCUGACCGAGGGUACUUGAAGAAACAGCAUCGGCUAACUCCGGGCCAGGGGCCGCGGUAAUACGGAGUAUGCGGGCGUUAUCCGGCUUUAUUGGGUUAAAGGGGUGCGUAGUCGGACGGUUAAGUCAGCGGUAAAAGCCCGGGGUUCAACCCCGGCGAGCCGUUGAAACUGGGUGGCUUGAGAUGUCGAGAGGUAUGCGGAAUGCGCAGUGUAGCGGUGAAAUGCGUAGAUAUUGCGCAGAACUCCGAUUGCGAAGGCAGCAUACCGGCGGCGAUCUGACGCUGAGGCACGAAAGCGUGGGUAUCGAACAGGAUUAGAUACCCCGGUAGUC